rnacentral:rRNA from 1 species
UUUGCGCAAUGGGCGAAAGCCUGACGCAGCAACGCCGCGUGGGUGAAGAAGGCCUUCGGGUCGUAAAGCCCUUUUGUUAGGGAAGAAGUUCUGACGGUACCUAACGAAUAAGCCUCGGCUAACUACGUGCCAGCAGCCGCGGUAAUA